AGUGAACGCUGGCGGCAUGCCUAACACAUGCCAGUCGAACGGCAGCACAGUAAGAUCUUGCUCUUACGGGUGGCGAGUGGCGGACGGGUGAGGAAUACAUCGGAAUCUACUUUUUCGUGGGGGAUAACGUAGGGCAACUUACGCUAAUACCGCAUACUAUCUACGGGUUAAAUCAGAGGUGCUUCGGACCUUUCCCGACACAAUGAGCCGAUGUCGGGUUAGCUAGUCGGCGGGGUAAAGUCCCACCCAGCCGACGAACCGUAGCUGGUCUGAGAGGAUGAUAAGCCCCACUGGAACUGAGACACGCUCCAGACUCCUCCGGGAGGCAGCAGUGGGGAAUAUUGGACAAUGGGCGCAAGACUGAUCCAGCCAUACCGCGUGGGUGAAGAAGGCCUUCGGGUUGUAAAGACCUUUUGUUGGGAAAGAAAAGCAGUAGGUUAGUAACUCGCUGUUCUGACGGUACCCAAAGAAUAAGCGCCGGCUAACUUCGUG
rnacentral:rRNA from 1 species